AUUGAACGCUGGCGGCAGGCCUAACACAUGCAAGUCGAACGAGUGGCGGACGGGUGAGUAAUGUCUGGGAAACUGCCCGAUGGAGGGGGAUAACUACUGGAAACGGUAGCUAAUACCGCAUACCAUCGGAUGUGCCCAGAUGGGAUUAGCUUGUAGGUGAGGUAACGGCUCACCUAGGCGAUGAUCCCUAGCUGGUCUGAGAGGAUGACCAGAAAAACUGGAACUGAGACACGGUCCAGACUCCUACGGGAGUAAGCAGAGGGGAAGAUUGCACAAUGGGCUCAAGGUGGAUGCAGCCAUGCCGCGUGUAGUAAGAAGGCCGUCGGGUUGUAAAGUACUUUCAGCGGGGAGGCGGUACCCGCAGAAGAAGCACCGGCUAACUCCGUGCCAGCAGCCGCGGUAAUAC
rnacentral:rRNA from 1 species